CAAGCCUCCCUACAGCCACCUGCUGGAAGUCACACAGGUGGCAGGGUGUUGCCUUGCUCAGUUUUCAAGGGUUACACUCAGCAGAAAAAGCCUGCAUCGGACGCAUGUGUCCUGAGAGCAUUCUGAGCAGCUUCAGGAACUGCUUGUCUUCAUAGUCAAAGCGGCUUCCAAAGACGACAGAACUGAUGACAUUUGAGACAGUGCGGCUCAGGAAGAAGCUGGGAUGUGGAAUUGAUGGCUGGAGCUCUAGCAGUCAUUUGCAUCAUGACAUGAUCUUGGGAAUGGAAAACACACAUCAUAGAACAAGAGAGAAGAGCCAGACCCUGUGGAGCACCCUACACUGACAA